CGAGGCGCGCCCCGCAGCAACCGCCGCUCUGAUUGGUGGGUGGCGGGGGAGGCGGGGCGCGCGGCCGCGGGCGGGCAGCGCCCAUGGACGCCCCCGGGCAGCGGCCGCCGCUCUGGGCGCCCGGCGCGGCCGUGACGGAGGCGGGCGCGGGCUGGGAAAGGAAGGGGACCGGGGGCGAAGAGGAGGGAAAAGGAAGGAGAGGAGGGGUUGUCGCUCUGUGUAGAGGUUCGCGACCGGCAGCUGCCAGCGCCGGAGCGGUUCGCGAUGCUCCGCGCGCCGCUGGGGCGCCUCGGGAGGAGGAGGGAGGAGUGAGCCGAGCGUCUCAACAUCCCCGAUGAAUGGGAGAACAAUCCCAAACAGAUUAUGUGUCUUUGUGUAAAACGACGGCUUGUUUUACUAUUAUGUUUUUUUCAUCCGUAAUUCUUGAAAUUGGCAAUAGUGGGUGAUAAAGCAACGGCGAUAAUGAAAUACGCGGAGGUUUUCCAGAGUUAUGGCUUUAUUCCAUUUUCCACAUUUAAUCGCGGAGUAUUCAGCGAGCUGUUUUGGGAGGAGCGUCACCCCACGGAGCUGGUCUUUCAGGGGUGUACCUGCUGUCCCCACAGCACGGCUGGGGCUUCGGUCUUGCACUGUAGUCACAGAUGUGCGGGCAGCCCUGUCCUCCCGUCACGGGGCACCCUGCUCCGCAGGCAGGUGAUUGGAAAAGUUCUCUGUACACUUUGCUUCCCUUCAGGUUCUCAGCCGUAAAUGCUCCCAGCGUUUCUCAAGGUGUUGCAUCCACCUCCAACGCCCAUUGAAAGCAUCGCAUGCUCCAGCUUCAGGCUUGGAAAGCUCUUCUGCCUUAGGACUGAAGAAAUUGCAGUUUAGGCUUCAACAAGAAAAGGAGAGACAUACAAAAUACAAAAGCAGAGGGAGAGAAAAUUAAGUAUGUUGAAAUAGCAAAGAGAACUAUAACACAAGUUUUCAAUAAAUGAAGUUUACAUUUGUCUCCCA